GUUCACAUUUUGAGGUCUGUAUGUAAUUGAUCUUUCUACCCUACAAGAGAAACACUGCAAUAAGUUGGUUGCAGCUCCACAUUAUAGUAUAGAGAAAUAAUAAUGAUGUCACCUUGAGAUUCAAAGAUCGUGGAAUAGUAAUAGUCUCCUAGCUCAUUCUCCCAACUGCAAUGACCUCUCCAGUACUAAAUCUUAACAGUCUCAGCAUUAUUUUUGAAUUAUUCAUGCUAGCCUUUUCCCUCACUACAAAAUCAAGGAAAAUGAAUGCAUCAUGCUCGAUCAACUCCACAGGUGCCCACACUUCAAUUAAAGCCAGCUGACGACAUCCUGAGAUGACCAUGGGGCUUUUUCAGGAUGAGAGAAGCUACUGGAAGCAUACAUACACACACCACUUGGCCACUUCACAACAAUAGGAUUUAAAAGGAUCACUUUUGCUGUGAUGAUAUUUUUGAGGAGAAAAAGGCACCCACAUGUUGAAAAGAACGACAAGAGCACUAAAACCUCACUGGUUUAGCCUAAUUGAACAACAAACAGGACUGCCUUUAUGGCAAUUCUCAGUGCUAUUAACAUAUAUAGCAGAAUAUCCCAGCAGGUGGAAGGAAGUAUUUUGCAAACAGACUAGAAAGAACUGUUAGAUUAGGAUGAACCAAGAAACUGAGCGUGAUUAGGGCAUGCUUCCCUGUUAUUAUCGCUGCAAAAUUAGGUCAAUUAUAUUUUCACCUCCUCUAAUCUUCUGUUUGCAUCAUGAUCCUGUUCCAGACAAAAUUAAAAAAGGAGUUUUACAACUGACUUGAAUGAGACACACACUGGGCGUUGUCAGUGUUUGUGAUAUAUCAUUAAACCAUAGUUUAAGAAGCAAACAAAAACAAUGGAAAAAAGCAAUAUAUUUACAUAUUAAUGUUGGCAAAUAUUUUAAUUAUGAUGAACAUAAAUAUUACAGAGGCUCAAAACCAUCAGAAUUACAGUAUGAUUGACUUUAAUAUACUUUGAUGUAGCAUAGCCACAGCCACAAUUCUGCCCACAGUUAGGCUGCUUAAAUUUCACUGAUCUUAAAAGGGAUUUAAGCAGUUUAAUUGCAUGCAGGAUUGCAAGCAGCAUCUUGAAAUAGUGCAGAGUCACUCACUAGCAAUAUGUUGUGUGUGAUAUAUUUUCCUUUCUGGUGAGACAUGAACAUGAAAGAGAACCUCUAUCAGUUUAUACAGAAGCAAUGUCUGAGUUUGCUCCAAAUAUCAGUGGUCUGAGAUAGCAUUGUGACUCUCAUUUGUCUCAGGAAGUCUGCCUUGGCAGUGUGAACUGUCCAGAUCCAUACAGCAAUCUUGAAUUGGCAGCAAGAUGGGCUAGAUGACCUAAUAGUGGUUGUUUCAUCUUUUGCUUUCAUGGUUUUAUGAUGUCUACAAUUUAUGGCUCCAAGUGACCAGAGAGCAUUUCAAAGUGUCUUGAG